UACGUAGGCAGCGAGCGUUGUUCGGAGUUACUGGGCGUAAAGCGUGCGUAGGCGGUUGUCUAAGUCUGGUGUGAAAUCUCCCGGCUCAACUGGGAGGGUGCGCCGGAAACUGGAUGACUGGAGUGCCGGAGAGGUAAGCGGAAUUCCUGGUGUAGCGGUGAAAUGCGCAGAUAUCAGGAGGAACACCGGUGGCGAAGGCGGGACUCUGGGCCGAUACUGACGCUGAGGAGCGAAAGCGUGGGGAGCAAACAGG
rnacentral:rRNA from 1 species